rnacentral:rRNA from 1 species
ACGAACGCUGGCGGCGUGCCUAAUACAUGCAAGUCGAACGCUUCUUUCCUCCCGAGUGCUUGCACUCAAUUGGAAAGAGGCGUGGCGGACGGGUGAGUAACACGUGGGUAACCUACCCAUCAGAGGUGGAUAACACUUGGAAACAGGUGCUAAUACCGCAUAACAGUUUAUGCCGCAUGGCAUAAGAGUGAAAGGCGCUUUCGGGUGUCGCUGAUGGAUGGACCCGCGGUGCAUUAGCUAGUUGGUGAGGUAACGGCUCACCAAGGCCACGAUGCAUAGCCGACCUGAGAGGGUGAUCGGCCACACUGGGACUGAGACACGGCCCAGACUCCUACGGGAGGCAGCAGUAGGGAAUCUUCGGCAAUGGACGAAAGUCUGACCGAGCAACGCCGCGUGAGUGAAGAAGGUUUUCGGAUCGUAAAACUCUGUUGUUAGAGAAGAACAAGGACGUUAGUAACUGAACGUCCCCUGACGGUAUCUAACCAGAAAGCCACGGCUAACUACGUG